CGGAGGGUGCAAGCGUUGUUCGGAAUCACUGGGCGUAAAGCGCGUGUAGGCGGCCUUCUCAGUCUGGUGUGAAAGCCCGGGGCUCACCCCCGGAAGUGCAUUGGAUACUGGAAGGCUGGAGUACCGGAGAGGAGGGUGGAAUUCCUGGUGUAGCGGUGAAAUGCGUAGAUAUCAGGAGGAACACCGGUGGCGAAGGCGGCCCUCUGGACGGAUACUGACGCUGAGACGCGACAGCGUGGGGAGCAAACAGGAUUAGAUACCCUGGUAGUCCACGCCGUAAACGAUGGGUACUAGGUGUUCGGGGUAUUGACCCCCUGAGUGCCGCAGCUAACGCAUUAAGUACCCCGCCUGGGGACUACGGCCGCAAGGCUA
rnacentral:rRNA from 1 species